AGCAGAUCAGCUCACAGAGCAACAAAUGUGGCCCACACCCAUUCAAGGGAGAGAGAGAGAAAAAAAAACACAUUGCGCAUAGGUCUCCAACUUAACACUCCUGUCAACUUAACAUCAUAACAGUUGCACAAAUUCAUCACGGAAAGGGAGUUGAAAGAAAACGUAUUGCUUGACUUGGACUUGUAUUGACUGUUCAUCAUGGAGGCACCAACAACAGCAGGUACAAUAAGCCACUCGGCAUCGGAAGAGGCCUUCAGCCACAUGGUCAGUCACAUCAUAGAACUCUUCACACAGCCCUCCGUAGCUGGAGUUCUGAGAACAACUUCUGCACAAAUGAUUGAAACAAUCUCAGACACUUCUGUGGGAGCUCUAACAACAACUUUUCUACAGAAGACUGAAACAAUUCCAGAUGCUUUUGUUGGAGUUCUGAGAACAACUUCUGCACAAAUGAUUGAAACAAUCUCAGACACUUCUGUGGGAGUUCUGACAACAACUUCUGCACAUAUGACUGAAACAACCUCAGAUGCUUUUUUAGUGGGAGCCGCCAUCGUAAAAGGUGUAUCCUUUGAAGUCCUUUUCGUAGGAGUCAUUCUUGUGGUGGUACUGGUGGUGGUACUGGUACUGGUGCUGGUACUGUGUCACAACGGCAAGCAUAAGGGCACUUACCACACCAACGAGGCCGAGUGUGGUGAUUCUGAUUCUGUCGACACGUAUGGUGUUGCCUCUCAAAGCGAACUUGAGAUUUUGAAUGAGGAAGAAUAGAAAGAAGUACACUUCAUUUGAAACAGGACUUUUUCCGAUUCUAAACCGGGGCCAGUUGUCAACUCAAGAUGCCAAAUAUUUUCUACGGAAUUGGUAAUGCCUAUGAUGGUCAUCUAAUUUCAAGGCAACAUUUAUAUGGGGCAUACAACCAUCUCAGCUCUACAGAUUUUGCCACGAAGAGACAGAAUCGUUAGAUCACUUAUUUUUGUAUUGCCCAUAUAUACACUAUAUAUACAAAAUUAUGUGGACACCCAUUAGUGGAUUUGGCUAUUUCAGCCACAUUACAGCCUUAUUUCCCUCAUCAAUCAAUAUAAAGAAACACUUUAAUAAACAAUUAAUAUUCAUUACAUGUGACUAACUUCAAGCUUACAAUUAGUACAGUAGUUAAACCAAUAUCAGAUUGUUGAGGUUUCGAAAAGAUGUAAAAACUAGAGAAAUUUUACAAUCCUUUUUGUCUUCCUUUUAAAAAAAAUGUUUAUACUCAAAAGAUAGUACCUUGUUUGAAUUUCUAUUAUGAGGGUGUUGAGCGAGCUUAAUGCAUAAUAAUGUAUAGCAUUGCUGAAUGUAAUAUCUGUUUUCAAUUUUUUUCUAAAUUGACGUCCAGUAGUAAUCUGAGCUUGUAAAAUGAAAUCAAGGCACAGGCAUCUUUCCUAACGCCAAACUGGAUGUUUUGGUUUUUUUGGCCUGAAGGUACCAAUAACUGAGUAAAGGAAAUGUUACGGCAAGGACCAUAAGAACACACAAAAAUACUUUCAUGAAACUUGAGACAUUUCACCUAUGACAAUACUGGGAACAAAACAGUCAAAAAAAUGUAAAUUCCCCUUCUUCUAAUGCAAGUCUCUGUAACUAAUAUAUUACCAUGUGAUUAAAGAGAAGCGACCUUGUUUUGCCUGAUGAAAACAGUGUCUAAUUAGCAGUAAAACACUUGUUCCAGAGAGGAAGGACUUUUUGUAUCAACAAGGCAACAACAGGGAAGUUUCAAAAGGAAACUGAAGACAGCCGAAUCACACUGCCCCAGCUAGGUGGAAAGGCUUCCAUGUAGUUCAGAGAGGGCAUAUCAACAGGAACGGCCUGAUAAAUGCUCAAAGUAUUAACAUCCCAAAAUACUGUAUCUGUGACUAAAUGUGGUCCAGUUUCUGUUGACGAUAAUGCAUGUCUGUUGUUCUAUCAUGUGAAAGUCCCAUUCGAUUAGCGUUGCGUAUGUAUCAAGC
ensembl:lncRNA